CUGGGAGGACCAUCUCCUAAGGCUAAAUACUCUCUAGUGACCGAUAGUGAACCAGUACCGUGAGGGAAAGGUGAAAAGCACCCCGGAAGGGGAGUGAAAUAGAACCUGAAACCGUGUGCUUACAAGUAGUCAGAGCCCGUUAAUGGGUGAUGGCGUGCCUUUUGUAGAAUGAACCGGCGAGUUACGAUUUGAUGCAAGGUUAAGCAGUAAAUGUGGAGCCGUAGCGAAAGCGAGUCUGAAUAGGGCGUUUAGUAUUUGGUCGUAGACCCGAAACCAGGUGAUCUACCCUUGGUCAGGUUGAAGUUCAGGUAACACUGAAUGGAGGACCGAACCGACUUACGUUGAAAAGUGAGCGGAUGAACUGAGGGUAGCGGAGAAAUUCCAAUCGAACCUGGAGAUAGCUGGUUCUCUCCGAAAUAGCUUUAGGGCUAGCCUCAAGUGAUGAUUAUUGGAGGUAGAGCACU
rnacentral:rRNA from 1 species